rfam:Patagioenas fasciata monilis isolate BTP2013 Sc31e1R_15, whole genome shotgun sequence.
GAAACAGUUCUUUUGAGAACUACUUAAUAUUGAAAACAUGAAAAAAU